rnacentral:rRNA from 1 species
UACAGAGGUCUCAAGCGUUGUUUCGGAUUCAUUGGGCGUAAAGGGUGCGUAGGCGGCUUGUUGCGUCGACCGUGAAAACCCGUGGCCUCAACUGCGGGCUUGCGGUCGAUACGGGCGGGCUAGAGUUCGGUAGGGGAGACUGGAAUUCCUGGAUGUAGCGGUGAAAUGGACGCAGACUAGUCAGGAGGAACACCGGUGGCGAAGGCGGGUCUCUGGGCCGAGUACUGACGCUGAGACGCGAAAGCGUGGGGAGCGAACAGG